UACGUAGGUGGCAAGCUUUGUCCGGAUUUAUUGGGUUUAAAGGGUGCGUAGGCGGCAUUUUAAGUCAGUGGUGAAAUACUUCAGCUUAACUGGAGAGGUGCCAUUGAUACUGGGAUGCUUGAGUACUGAUGAGGUAGGCGGAAUGGACGGUGUAGCGGUGAAAUGCUUAGAUAUCGUCCAGAACACCGAUAGCGAAGGCAGCUUACUAAGGAGUAACUGACGCUGAGGCACGAAAGUGUGGGGAUCAAACAGG
rnacentral:rRNA from 1 species